GAACUUUUGGAUAUGUAGAUCCAGAGUACUUCCAAUCAAGCUUGCUUACUGAAAAGAGUGAUGUUUAUAGUUUUGGUGUAGUUCUCGUCGAGCUCAUAACUGGACAAAAACCAAUUUCUUCAGAAAGAGUAGAAGAAGGUGUUGGAUUAGCUGCAUGUUUCAUUCUUUCAAUGGAAAAUGACAAACUCUUUGAUAUGCUUGAUCCCCAAAUUGUGGGCCAAUGCAACAUAGAAGAAGUUACUGCAGUUGCUAACCUUGCAAAAAGAUGCUUGUACUUGAACGGCAAGCUACGACCUACUAUGAAAGAAGUACUGACAGAGUUGGAAGGAAUUCAAUUAUCUCUGAAAU
rnacentral:lncRNA from 1 species